rnacentral:rRNA from 1 species
AUACGGAGGGUGCGAGCGUUAUCCGGAAUCAUUGGGUUUAAAGGGUCCGCAGGCGGACUGAUAAGUCAGUGGUGAAAUCCCGUAGCUUAACUACGGAACUGCCAUUGAAACUGUCAGUCUUGAAUUCGGUCGAAGUGGGCGGAAUGUGUCUUGUAGCGGUGAAAUGCAUAGAUAUGACACAGAACACCGAUAGCGAAGGCAGCUCACUAGGCCUGAAUUGACGCUCAGGGACGAAAGCGUGGGGAGCGAACAGGAUUAGAAACCCUAGUAGUCC